GAUGAACGCUGGCGGCGUGCCUAACACAUGCAAGUCGAACGGAGUCCAGCCUUUAAGACCUUCGGGUCAAAGAGGGGAAGACUGAGUGGCGGACGGGUGAGUAACACGUGGGCAACCUGGCUCAUAGAGGGGGAUAACAGAGAGAAAUUUCUGCUAAUACCGCAUAAGCACACACUGCCGCAUGGCAGAGGGUGAAAAGAGAAUCGCUAUGAGAUGGACCCGCGUCUGAUUAGCCAGUUGGCAGGGUAAGAGCCUACCAAAGCGACGAUCAGUAGCCGAUCUGAGAGGAGGAACGGCCACAUUGGGACUGAGACACGGCCCAAACUCCUACGGGAGGCAGCAGUGGGGGAUAUUGCACAAUGGGGGGAACCCUGAUGCAGCGACGCCGCGUGAGUGAAGAAGUAUUUCGGUAUGUAAAGCUCUAUCAGCAGGGAAGAUAAUGACAGUACCUGAAUAAGAAGCCCCGGCUAACUACGU
rnacentral:rRNA from 1 species